UAGGGAAUCUUCCGCAAUGGACGAAAGUCUGACGGAGCAACGCCGCGUGAGUGAAGAAGGAUUUCGGUUCGUAGAACUCUGUUGUUAGGGAAGAAAAAAUGUAUAGUAACUAUAUACAAAAGAGACGGUACCUAACCAGAAAGCCACGGCUAACUACGUGCCAGCAGCCGCGGUAAUACGUAGGUGGCAAGCGUUGUCCGGAAUUAUUGGGCGUAAAGCGCGCGCAGGUGGUUUAGAAAGUCUGAUGUGAAAGCCCACGGCUCAACCGUAGAGGGUCAUUGGAAACUAAUAAACUUGAGUGCAGGAGAGAAAAGUGGAAUUCCUAGUGUAGCGGUGAAAUGCGUAGAGAUUAGGAGGAACACCGGUGGCGAAAGCGGCUUUUUGGCCUGCAACUGACACUGAGGCGCGAAAGCGUGGGGAGCAAACAGG
rnacentral:rRNA from 1 species